rnacentral:rRNA from 1 species
AAUGGAUGGAAAUCUGAUCCAGCCAUGCCGCGUGCAGGAAGGCGGCCCUAUGGGUUGUAAACUGCUUUUGUACGGGAGCAAUAAGGUCUACGAGUAGAUUGAUGAGAGUACUGUACGAAUAAGCAUCGGCUAACUCCGUGCCAGCAGCCGCGGUAAUACGGAGGAUGCGAGCGUUAUCCGGAUUUAUUGGGUUUAAAGGGUGCGUAGGCUGUUAUGUAAGUCAGUGGUAAAAGGUACAGGCUUAACUUGUAUAUGCCAUUGAAACUGUAUAGCUAGGAUAUGGAUGAAGUGUGCGGAAUGUGUGGUGUAGCGGUGAAAUGCAUAGAUAUCACACAGAACACCGAUAGCGAAGGCAGCACACUAAGGCAAUAUUGACGCUGAGGCACGAAAGUGUGGGGAUCAAA